AGAGAGCCAGUCACUCACUCCUCACUCUCUCUCACUCCUCGCCUGCGUUGUGGUGGUGGUGGUGGUUGUGGUAGCAGUGGUAGUUAUGAAGAUUUCUGUGGUGACCGUUCUUCUCGUUCUCCUGUGUGCUGUCUACGUGCAGUCACGAGGGUGUUCGAAAGAUGAAGUGGGCGUGUCUUGUAGAAUUAAAGAAGAACACACACAGAAAGCAAAAUACAGAGA